rnacentral:rRNA from 1 species
UACGGAGGGGACUAGCGUUGUUCGGAAUUACUGGGCGUAAAGAGUACGUAGGCGGCUUUGCAAGUUGGGUGUGAAAGCCCGGGGCUCAACCCCGGAACUGCACUCAAAACUGUGAGGCUAGAGAUCGGAAGAGGUAAGUGGAAUUCCCAGUGUAGAGGUGAAAUUCGUAGAUAUUGGGAAGAACACCGGUGGCGAAGGCG